UUGACGCUUGNNUUUACCGANNCUUGCUUCACCGAAAAUAAAGAGUAGCGAACGGGUGAGUAACGCGUGGGUAACCUACCUUUCAGCGGGGGAUAACUAUUGGAAACGAUAGCUAAUACCGCAUAACAAUGUUGGAUGCAUAUUCGACAUUUGAAAGUAUCAAUUGGUACACUGAGAGAUGGACCCGCGUUGUAUUAGCUAGUUGGUAGUGUAAUGGACUACCAAGGCGAUGAUACAUAGCCGACCUGAGAGGGUGAUCGGCCACAUUGGGACUGAGACACGGCCCAAACUCCUACGGGAGGCAGCAGUAGGGAAUCUUCGGCAAUGGACGAAAGUCUGACCGAGCAACGCCGCGUGAGUGAAGAAGGUUUUCGGAUCGUAAAACUCUGUUGUUAGAGAANAACGUUGCAUAGAGUGGAAAAUUAUGCAAGUGACGGUAUCUAACCAGAAAGGGACGGCUAACUACGUGCCAGCAGCCGCGGUAAUACGUAGGUCCCGAGCGUUGUCCGGAUUANUUGGGCGUAAGCGAGCCCAGGUGGUUNAAUAAGUCUGAUGUAAANGCAGUGGCUCANCCAUUGUGUGCAUUGNAACUGUUAGACUUGAGUGCAGUANANGAGAGUGGANUNCAUGUGUACGGUAA
rnacentral:rRNA from 1 species